CAAGCACAUGCUACGGCACAGAGAAGUCAGACAUUUUGAUAUCUGGAAGAGUAUGUUGCCCAGCACAUCAAACCCGGAACAUGGUCAGAGUACUCAAGCCUUGAUAUAGAGGACCUUCCUGCACAAAAUUAUGGCAGUAAUGACUGUGAUAUAUUCAUGUUAAUGUUAUGGUCACAGAUUUGUGCAUUAUACCAACGAAGGCCCCCAGAUGGCCAACGGAUCUCUGCAAUCAAUCUUCCGCAUCUCCAGGAAUAGGACAUUUGAGAUUGACAUGGAACCUCAGACCUCUUUGAUCCUUGCCAGUAAAGGUGCAGUCAAGUCCUCUACCCGGGGAGUGGUCAGUCCCAUCUUUCAGGCACGCAUCAAUAUUUAAUUGUCAUCAAGGUAUGAGCUGAUGACAAACACUCACUGCCAGUCAUCAGACAAAUCUACAUCGAGUGCCCACUUGACACUUCUUUCUCUCAGAAUCAUGUGGCUGUAACAAUAUUUGUACAAUCUGAAAACAACAAAAAUAAAUCUGAAAGCUACCAAAUGUUGAUAGAUAAUUGUUUUAUGAUACUAUCCUUGUUCAUAGAGGAUAAUAUUGGACAUUAGCUCAUUUAUAAUUUACGCUGUAUGUUGACAGUGGGCACAUUACAUUUUGAGGACUGUCUUCAUUGAAGCUGUUCUUCAGGAUGGGGACUGUGUGGUCCGUGCGCUGGCUCUUACCUGCACCCAUUUUUGGGUUAUAGUCAGACAAGAGACGUUCCGCAAUGAAGCACACCUUCACUGCCUAGACAGUGAGUGAUACUAUACAGAUAUAUUUGAAUAUUUUGUUUUUUUUUGUUAACAGGUGUCAUGACCGGGAGUCUGUACUCCCCUGAAUUUAGGAACAAAUUCGGAAUCCCCUAUUUCAUUGACACCUGUGUCCAAUGUCAUACUGAUUAUAAAGACACAAAAGGUUUUCGGGGACGGGGAAAGAGAGGAGAACUUUUCAGUUUUCAGUCCGAUGGUGACAAUCUGAGAGAAUGCUUCUCUAUGGACUGGUUUUGGGCUUCUGGGGGAACUGAUUGAAAAAUAAAUCCAUUUGCUUUUGA